AUUGUCGGCUUUUGGACCCCGCGGAUCAACCAAUGAGAAGACGAUCGACGUCAAAUAGAUGUUUGCAGCUUGCAGAAUGGAAAGAAAUUUGCAGCUAAAAUUAUUUUCACUUCUAUGUGAAAAUCUAACCGAAAAACUUACCUGUUGAUUUCAAGAUACAGUAUGCCAUUCCAGGUUUGAUGAAAUAUAAAGUGAUGCUUUGAACAUGCAUGAACAUGUUGAAAUUGGAUUUCUAUUUUUACAGACAGCAGUGAUGAUCACCUGCACUGAGACAGCAGAAGAAAGUUACUUAUUUAUUACUCAUCAUGACCAUGAUGACCAUUUAAUACUGAAAAUCUGAUUAAAAUUUGUUUGGAAAGCCACCAAAUAUUUCAAUGAGAAGUAGAAAAAAGACAGCAAUUCUAUAUCAUGUAUAUCAUGUACUAAGCAGAAGCAUUUGCUGUUUCAAGACCCAAUUGAAUUGGAGUUUAGUGUUUUGAUGCAGUGAAACAGAGGAAUAUUUAAGUGAACAGUUUACCUUCUUUUUCAUCCUCGUGUAUCAUUAAAGUUGAUGUUUACCAUCGGAGAGAGCUUUUACCUCAGUUAAAAUGAAUUCUAAAUACAGGCAGUUUUGGAAACUUGUAUAAUUUCUUACAAUUGGAGUUUCUAAAAAGGAUUACAUUAAAAAAAAAUGUGUUGCAACAGUUUCAAGGAUUUGAUUUGUGGUUUCUUUCGUGAAAUAUUUGAAAAAUCUGCAAUGUCUAACCAAGUAGUUUAUAAGGGAUCUAAAGAUAAACAAAUGACAUGUAUGAUAUUCAGAUGAAUUUGAAAGAAGGAAAUAUAUUGAUUUAUAAGACUUCAA